ensembl:lncRNA
GGCUAAUAAUUCUUUAUUUCCAAACAGAAACUGCAAAAAUAUUCUAUUACAGAGCAAGUAACAAGUGCAGAAUUCCAAGUACGCAUUAUACUAGUGAAACCAUUGCCUCCUUGACAAAAAAAAUCAUUAGGCACUUAAAACAUGAAAACAAAGCAUAACAUAAACCAGCUAACAGAUGUCUCAACAAUACAACUUUAUCUUGGUUUUCUGUAAUAAAAGCACACACACGUUUGAGGGGCUUUCCAUGCCUCCUCCUAAAUCCUGCGUAGAGACACUUCUAUGUUAGGCUGCACGCACGCUACUCAUGUGCAAACAGACAAUAUCAAGUUCACAUCUGAAAACAUAAAUAAAUUCAGCACUGAGAGAAUUUGAGAGAACCUUUUUGGAAACAGCAACUGCAGAGCCUGUGCUAGCAGCUCCACACAGUUUGGUGCUUGAGGAACACGAUACCAGCUCCAAGGAUGGGGAAGCUCUGCUUGGACAAUGGCAUUGAAGAGAUUGGAACAGAAAUGAAUGCAAUCAGUGCCCUUUUGAGAGACAAUGAAACCUAUGGGAAAGAAAAAAAAAAAAAAAAAGGAAAGAAAAAGCAGCUACUGUGGAAAUUACAUUUUGCCACAUCUCUGAAAAAGAAGAAAACACACACUUGGCAUCCCUUAGCAAUAGUUCUAUGUAGAACCUUGCCAUUUACCAGUCUCCUUGCUUGUAUUUCUUGACCUAAACCAGAAGCAAAGGUGGUCUGUUAGCCCUGCCUUGGAAAGGUAAAUCUACAAAAAACCUGUCCAAAGGACUAAUGAAAAUACCCUUGUAGAAAUCAGUCAGAAACCCUUUAAAAUGACUUUGGGUUGCAUCAUUGUUAUUUUAAGGGUGCACUGCGAGAAGCACUGCCAAGAAGUUGAGGGAGGUGAUCUUCCCUCUCAGCCCCAGAGGAGGGACACCUGGAGUGCUGUGUCCAGUGCUGGGCCUCCAGUACAGAGACGUGGAGUUACUGGAGAGAGUCCAGCAGAGAGCUACAAGGAUGAGUAUGAGACUGGAGCACCUCUCUGGAAGAACAGCUGGGAGAGCUGGGCCUGUUUAGCCUGAGGAGAAGGGGACCUUAUCUAAACUUAUAAAUAUAAGAGGGUGUCAAGAGGAUGGGACCAGACUCUCUUCAAUGGUGCCCAGUGACAGGGCAAGAGGCCACAGGCACAAACUGAAAUACAGCAAGUUCUACAUGAAUAUGAAGAAAAAUUCUGUACUGUGAGGGUACAGAGCGCUGGAACACACUGCCAGGGGGAUUGUGCAGUUUUUUUCCCUGGAGAUAUUCAAAACCUGCCUGGAUGUGAUCAUGUGCAACGCGUUCUAGAUGUCCCUGCUUGAGAAGGGGGCUUGGACCAGAUGAUCUCCAAGGUCCCUUCACCCUCAGCCACUCUGUGUCUGUGUGCGUGAUUAUAUAACUUUCCCUGCAGCUUACUCUGGUGGAAUAAAACGCAGUGAAUAUUUUAAAAUAAAUUUAAUUUAAUGCUUGAAGAAAAGAACAUUAAGAAUAUUAACAUAAAGAAUACAUCCAAAGCUACUAUAUAAAAUAUGCAUACAAAACACACAGAAAAUUCAGCUACUGCAUUUCAGUUUCACAAGAAUUUAGGAAUGAUUCUGUACCAUAAGCACUACCAAUAAAUACAAUGAGAAGUAGAAGGGUAUUGUUAGGGAAACAACUCACAGCUGAGCCCAGAGCUGAAAAACCUAGCAGGAUGCUGACUUGCUGUGACAAAACCUCUCCUUGUCAGAAACUAAAGCAAACUCUGAAGAACUGAAAAUCCAUAAUCUUGUCUUAGACUAGAAUAUCCUGUCCCAGCCAUUAGCGUUAUUCAUUCUGAUGGCCUCUUGCCACAGUACCAUGAAUUAAUGGUGUAAUCAUUAAAUAAUUCCAUCACUCAGUUUUCUGAGUUGUCUCCCUCAAUGGAAAGCAGCAAGAAGAAAUAGGAAGAAAAAGAAACCACAAGACAAAAUGGUAUCAGGUGCAGCAACUUAUGUGGCAUGUUAUACUGCUAAAUCUACCUCAGAAUUUAGCAAAAGGCUACAUUACUGAUUAUGUGAUGGCAAUGCAAAAACGUCAUUCCUUCCUGUAUUCAACAAGGAAUAAAAGAAGCUCCAUAAAUUGUCAUACAUCACGGUAAUAAAUAUAAUUAAUGCAUGGCUCCUUGGUCUACAGCAAAUUCAGACUGAUGUAAUCCUAAUGGUUUAAGCUCUUGUCAUAUUGCUUGCAUUUGCUUGACAUGAAGAAUGUGCAGAGACCACUGCCCAGCUGGACUGGUGCACAGCCACCCAGUAACAAGGGGUAGUUCCCUUGUAGGCCAAGGCUCAGGAAUAGGAAGGUGUUCUGCAGUAUGACUUGAUGAAAGAGACUACUAAAUAACAGUAAUAGUGCCUUUGUUUAGUGGUAUGCUGCAGAUCUUUUCAUGCUCUGCUUGGCCAUUAUUAUAAUUUAGAGCCAAUUAAGAAACACUUAAUAUGAGCCUGAUGAAAACCUGGAACAAAGCUUAAUAAAUAUAAAUUUCCCACUCAUUGUGCCUUGUAGCUGAAAGCCUCAAAUGAUUUCUCCAGAAUAUCCCAAGAGAUCAGCAGCCUUUAAAACUUUGGAACUUUGAAAUUCAGAGAAUGACUUUCCUCCCUAAAAUGAUACAAUCUGAAAUCAAGAGAGCCAAGCUUGAUGGAGUAAAAACAGGUCUUUGUUGCUAUUCUUGGCUAGCAGACCUGGAGAGGAGAAAGACCAGCUGCUGAAGCAUUGUGAGAUAAAGGAUUACCUGGCUGUGAAUAUUUGCAGCAAAGAUACAUUCAAGCAGCAAGUGCAUGUGUAAGAAGUUUACUGUGUCCAAGGAUUACAGCACACAAGUGACUAAUCAGCUGUUUCAAAUAAAGCUGUUUCAGAAUAAAGCACUUAAUGGGAUAGUCCUUGAUACUGCACAUAUCUGCGCACACAAGUGGACGUGGGCUUUACAGACCUAAGAGCCCCUGGAGGCACAGCUGUGUGCAUCUUCAGGAUCUCGCUCCACAGAUUUGUCAUAGGAGAGUGACAGGACAAAGAUCUCCAGAUCAAACAUUCUAUGAACGUGGCCAUUUCUGGCUGCUGUUCUGCUACCGAGUCCACAAUGCGUCAAGUUCUAUGUGAUUAAUUAACUCAGACAAAUUAACAGAUCCGAACAUUUG